GAUGAACGCUGGCGGCGUGCUUAACACAUGCAAGUCGAACGGACUUUUAAUGAAACCUAGUGAUUUAAAAGUUAGUGGCGGACGGGUGAGUAACGCGUGGGUAACCUGCCGUAUACAGGGGGACAACAGUUGGAAACGACUGCUAAUACCGCAUAAGCGCACAGGACCGCAUGGUCUGGUGUGAAAAACUCCGGUGGUAUACGAUGGACCCGCGUCUGAUUAGCUAGUUGGUGAGGUAACGGCCCACCAAGGCGACGAUCAGUAGCCGGCCUGAGAGGGUGAACGGCCACAUUGGGACUGAGACACGGCCCAAACUCCUACGGGAGGCAGCAGUGGGGAAUAUUGGACAAUGGGGGAAACCCUGAUCCAGCGACGCCGCGUGAGUGAAGAAGUAUUUCGGUAUGUAAAAGCUCUAUCAGCAGGGAAGAAAAUGACGGUACCUGACUAAGAAGCUCCGGCUAACUACGUG
rnacentral:rRNA from 1 species